rnacentral:rRNA from 1 species
UGGCUCAGGAUGAACGCUGGCGGCGUGCCUAAUACAUGCAAGUCGAGCGAACAGAUAAGGAGCUUGCUCCUUUGACGUUAGCGGCGGACGGGUGAGUAACACGUGGGUAACCUACCUAUAAGACUGGAAUAACUCCGGGAAACCGGGGCUAAUGCCGGAUAACAUGUUGAACCGCAUGGUUCUACAGUGAAAGACGGUCUUGCUGUCACUUAUAGAUGGACCCGCGCCGUAUUAGCUAGUUGGUGGGGUAACGGCCUACCAAGGCGACGAUACGUAGCCGACCUGAGAGGGUGAUCGGCCACACUGGAACUGAGACACGGUCCAGACUCCUACGGGAGGCAGCAGUAGGGAAUCUUCCGCAAUGGGCGAAAGCCUGACGGAGCAACGCCGCGUGAGUGAUGAAGGUCUUCGGAUCGUAAAGCUCUGUUGUUAGGGAAGAACAAAUGUGUAAGUAACUGUGCAC